CAUGAAUGACCUUCUGUUAAGAUUGCGUACGUUCUGUGAGCAACACAGAAGUCCGCACAUCCUGUGCA
rnacentral:sRNA from 1 species